AGCGAACGCUGGCGGCAGGCCUAACACAUGCAAGUCGAACGGAUCCUUCGGGAUUAGUGGCGGACGGGUGAGUAACACGUGGGAACGUGCCCUUUGGUUCGGAACAACUCAGGGAAACUUGAGCUAAUACCGGAUGUGCCCUUCGGGGGAAAGAUUUAUCGCCAUUGGAGCGGCCCGCGUCUGAUUAGCUAGUUGGUGAGGUAACGGCCCACCAAGGCGACGAUCAGUAGCUGGUCUGAGAGGAUGAUCAGCCAAACUGGGACUGAGACACGGCCCAGACUCCUACGGGAGGCAGCAGUGGGGAAUCUUGCGCAAUGGGCGAAAGCCUGACGCAGCCAUGCCGCGUGAAUGAUGAAGGUCUUAGGAUUGUAAAAUUCUUUCAGCGGGGACGAUAAUGACGGUACCCGCAGAAGAAGCUCCGGCUAACUUCGUG
rnacentral:rRNA from 1 species